ensembl:lncRNA
GUGGUGCAGUGGUGUAGUGGUGCAGUGGUGUAGUGGUGCAGUGGUGUAGUGGUGUGGUGUAGUGGUUCAGUGGUGUAGUGGUGUAGUGGUGCAGUGUAGUGGUUCAGUGGUGUAGUGUGGUGUAGUGGUGCGGUGUAGUGGUUCAGUGGUGUAGUGGUGCAGUGUAGUGGUUCAGUGGUGCAGUGUAGUGGUGCAGUGGUGUAGUGGUGCGGUGUAGUGGUUCAGUGGUGUAGUGGUGCAGUGGUGCGGUGUAGUGGUUCAGUGGUGCAGUGUAGUGGUGCGGUGUAGUGGUUCAGUGGUGUAGUGGUGCAGUGUAGUGGUGCGGUGUAGUGGUGUAGUGGUGCAGUGCGGUGUAGUGGUGUGGUGUAGUGGUGCAGUGGUGUAGUGGUGCAGUGUGGUGCAGUGGUGCAGUGUAGUGGUGCGGUGUAGUGGUGCAGUGUGGUGGUGCAGUGGUGCAGUGGUGCAGUGGUGCAGUGUAGUGGUUCAGUGGUGUAGUGGUGUAGUGGUGCAGUGUAGUGGUUCAGUGGUGUAGUGGUUCAGUGUAGUGGUUCAGUGGUGUAGUGGUGCAGUGUAGUGGUGCAGUGGUGUAGUGGUGCGGUGUAGUGGUUCAGUGGUGUAGUGGUGAGGUGUAGUGGUUCAG